AAGACCUUAAGUUAAGCUUAAACUAAAAACCUUCAAAGUUUUCAAUAGAGUAUUCUAGAUCUUG
rnacentral:tRNA from 1 species